GAUGGUCUCCAUCACAUUUUCCACAUAAUCUGCACCAUAACACUAGAGUUACAAAUUACCCGUCAACAGACUAAAAUAUCAAAAUAAGUUGACCAACUGCAUACAGAGUAAAUACAUAGACAAUAAUAUAGAUCAGAUUAUGAAUACCACAACUACUAAAAUGUGAAAUGCAAAAUCUCUGUCAAAUAAAACUACAUAUUGGCCAACAAAUGAUUAUACUGCUGUUAAAUGUACAUACCUUGCUCCUGACGUGAAAAACAACUCUUCUACAAGGUAGCCGCGUGUCCACAGCCUGCAGUGGCAUCAGUUUGAGAAGCAACCUCCUCGCGUUUCGGUAGCUGGCAUGCGUCAGCCUGUAUAAAAAACAUGUCACGUUUACAGCUAAAGUAGCUGACUAGAUAAGCAACAACACACAUGUUAGACUUAGAUAGAACUUGCAAUCACCCAAGUUCACGGGUCUACUCGGGCUAGAACAUACACACGACAGGCUCGGUAGUAAUUAGAAACACAGCUGACUCUCACAACUUACUAGAGCUAGCCGUUAGCCACUAACGCUAGCCGCUAACGCUGCGCUACUAUCGCGCUAGCAGCUACAAUGUGAGCUGAGUGAAUGACCUCAGUACCAUAUAUCACACGAUUCGAACCGGACGAAUGCUAAAGAGGCUGGGACUCAUCCAAAUUGCAUUAGUUAUGCUUCUCUCCCGCUCUCUCUCUCUCUCUCCCUCUCUCUCUCCUCCACUCUGUCCUCACCUACAGGUAUCAUUGGACUCAAAGUUUGGUGUCUGUGAUGGGCAGCUGUGGAUCCAACCAUUCUGCCUGCAUCCAGUCCCUGGUCCAACCAUCCUGCCUGUGCUCUGAUGUUGCUUGUUAUUGCUUGUUGUUGUUGCUGUGCUUUUCUCUCUCUCUCUCCCCUCACCCCAACCGGUCGAGGCAGAUGGCCGCCCACAUCCAGCCUGGUUCUGCUGGAGGUUUCUUCCUCGUUAGAGAGGGAGUUUUUCCUCUCCACUGUUGCUGUCAAAUUAAUUGCUUGCUGUAUGUGGGAUUUGUUGGGUUUAGUUGUGUGAGGUCUUAAACCUUACUUUGUAAAGUGAAUUGAGAUAACUUUGUUGUGAUUUGGCGCUAUAUAAAUAAAAUUGAAUUGAAUAAAAAUUGCUACAGGUGUGGCAAAACCUCCCACAAUGAAAACGACUGUAUGGACAUAAAACGAGUCUGCAAACAAAAAUCAGGAAUUAAACAAACUCCAAAAAUCAAACCACAGCAAGAUACAGUAGGAAGUCAAAAACCUCCAACAUGUUUAUAAUGGUGAAAGUGGACAAAAAAACAGACUCUGACACAAGGGAACUGGAUUGCUUAGAGCAACACAACGUCACUGAAGAUGAAGUCAAAGAAGUCAUCUGGCUGAGUCCAGUGUCCGGUAUAACAUUAAAAAUGGAGUUAGACACAGGAUCAGCAAUGUCUGUCAUCUCUAGAGCUGACUAAAAGUGGUUGUUCUCCACAAUAAGACUGUUAAAAACAAGGGUGCGACUUAAGACCUACACAGGUGAGGAAGUACAUCCAUAUGUUUAUUUUUGAAGGCUUGGAGGAGCUGCAGAGAGGCUGUUACAUCUGCUAAAAACUCAGGAGAAAGUAUUUACACUGUACUGUGCUCUGCGGCCAAAGAUGGAAGCUGAACUUCAAUACCUAGUGGACCAAGGAGUCUUGUUAAAGGUUUAAUGGCAUGAAUGGGCCACUAACCUAAUGUUCCUGUCAUCAAGAAAGGCAAAACUGAAGUAAUACGCAUUUCUGGUAAUUUCAAGGUCAGCAUCAAUCCUGUGCUGCACACAGUACGCAUAGAGGACAUCUGUAAAUCUUUGACUGGUGUGAAAAAAUUCUCAAAGAGUGAGGAA